AAGUCUGCUAAAGAAAUGGAAUCUUUUAUAAUGUACCCUAAACCCAAGGACGACAUUCCAUCCCCUUUGCAAUAAAAGGUGACCUCCCAUCACUUUUGCCAUAUUCUAUUGGUUGGAAGCAAGUCAGAGGUUCUGCCCAUACCCAAGGGGAGGAGAUUAUACAAAGGCAUAAAUAUUGGGAGACGGGGAUGACGGGGGCUUCCUUGAAGUCUGUCUGCCACACCUGUAAAUAAAUAUACGAGGAUAACAUCAGAUGGAAAUGACUACUCUGCAGAGAAUCAAACUACGGUGUUACGAUUGCAACUUGGUGUCUCGUGAUUGAAUGGGCAGAUAAGGCCUCCUUGAGGAAGUGGCAUCUGAACUGAGAUCUGAAUGCCUAGAGGAAGCCAGCUAGUCUGGCUGUGUUAACAGUGAGACCGGCUGGAGAGCAGUGGAUGACAGGGAAAGUGGUAUGAAAUGAAGUCAGACAGCUUAUUUGAAUCAGAGAGUUGGAUUAUAUCGUUAAGGUUCCCAGAGACAACAGGUUCCUGGAAUGCCUAGAUCUAUAAACACUUGGUGAGGAGUGGAAGAUACGAUGAUGAACAAGACAUUCUCUGCUACCAUGGAGCUGACUAUCCACUGGUUCACUCAUACCACAGCCUUUAUUGAGCACCUAUCACAUGCCAGAAAAUGUUCUAAGUGCUGGGACACAACAGAGAACAGACAGAAAAUAAACAAUUUUUUUAAAUGUUGUAAUUUUAGGAAUUGAUAUGUCCUAUGAAGAAAAUGAAGUAGAGGAGGUGAUGGCAGGUGCUAUUUUUAGAUUGAUCACAGAAGUGAUGUUGAGAAAAGACCUCCAUGAUUAAAACAGUGAGUCAACCAAUUUUCCUGUGGAAGAGCAUCCUGGGCAGAGAGAAUACAAAACAUAAGAUCUAAGUAAAGGGACAAUGGACCAUUUCUUCUGAAGCUUGACUACGUUUUGAAGGUCAUAUGAACAAUUUCCAACUUCACUAUGUUCAAAUUUAAACCAAGUCGCCAUUAAGUCCACCACACACAGUCAACACUAACACAUGUUUUGUACAGAGCUUAAAGUUUGUGCAGCUUGAUACCUCAUGCUUUUCUCUGCUUGUUCGUUUGUUUGUUUGCUGAGAUUUGUAUGUACCUAUCAUGCCUGAAAUCUCUAGGACAAAUGCAAAUCAUUCAAAUGUAUCACUAGUCUAUAAUUUUUUCUUGGAGACAAGUCCACUAGAGUACUCUGUCCUCCUCUGACCUGAAUGGUUUGCCCUCCAGGCUGGACACUCACUUAUCGUACUGGGUCUUCCUUUCACCAGCAUCCUGAGCAUUUUCUUCUCUCCUGUGUUGGAUCUCCUGAUUUCUGGUCCCAUGUCAUCCUCUUUCUUAGAUUAGUUCUCAUCGUAGUGAAUAAUAUCCUCUACUAGCUUACUAUGAAAGGACACAUGAGAGCAAAAAAAUGAGAUGUUGGAUAUCUGAAGAAUUCUCUAUUCUACCCUUAUACAAGACUAACAGUCUAGCCAGGAAUAGGAUUCCAAGUUAGUAGUCAUUUCCCCUAAGAAUUUCAAGGGCACAUCUCCACUGUUUUCUAGCUCUCAGGGUUGCUGAGAAGUUUGAUGCCAUUCAUUCAUAUUUAAGAACAAGGCAAUGAAAAGCUGAAUAGAAGUUCAGCGUGUGUGGAUAGAAUUUAUCAAAUUAUAGACAUUGUUAGAGAGUAUCCAUCUAGGAAAUUAAAUUCAAGUACUCCCGAAUCUCAAUGACUCUAAAUCUUUGGUGGGGAGAUAGAGCCGGUAAAUUUUUUCCAGGGAAGAAUCUUCUCCCAUUUUCCUACCUUGGAGAAAUAUUGCUGGCAGUCAACAUCUCUGAGCUAAUGAAGGAAAAGGGUUAGGAUGUAACCAUUCAGAAUGUAGAUGUUUACUUAACCCCCAUUUUCAGCAUGGAGGUGACUGCAAGUCCAAAGUCUCUCUAGUUGAACCUCUCCAGAGAGUAAAGGCUAAUCUUCUUCUUGGGUAAAGGAGGGUUAUCCAUCACCUCUGAAGGAUUUCGAAGAUGCAGUAUUAACUACUUGAAAUAUUGACCCUUACCCUUGUUUUCUCUCCAUUUGCGUCUUUCUCCAAUCCUUGAGGCCUUGGGGUUUUGAGGAAUGAAUUCAUCUACUUCUGCUUUCAACUCUCAAAGAUCUGCUGAUUCAAAUACCCCUUGUUCAUCUGAUGUUUUCAUUCUAAAACAUAGUUGAAAUUGUUUGCUUACUCUCUAUUUUAUCCUUGUACACUGACAGUUGUUUUAAUCCCAUUAGGUUGUUUAAAUCAUUUGAGUUUGAUUUGGGGUGUAUUUAACCUGCAGUAUCUAACUAGAAACUCCCUCGAAAUGUUUUCCCCACAAUUCAAUUCCUUUCCACAAAGAAUUUCUUAUAAAUAGAAUUUUAUUCAUCUCAUUUCAUCUCAUCUCAUUUCAUCAUUGUGCAAAAUUAAGUGGAAGUUAUAAAAAGAAAAGGCUAAUGUGAGAGAUAAGAAGCCUACAUUUCAUAAACUUCAUAUGUUUGAGACAGAGAUGGAGAUUGCUAGGUCUACCAGAAGCUAUAUCUCUUUACUUUCAAUCUGAUGCUUAUUGGAUUUAAGCCAGUUGAAUAUACGAACAGUUACAAGGUACAAGAAUAAACUUAAAGGAUAUGGUUUAAAUGCUGAAAAUGCUAAAAAUGGUGUUUCACAAAGUGUAAUUAAGGAUUUUACAAUGGAACUCUUUCUGUAAUAUAUGUCUAUUAUUAGUCUUUAAAGAAUUUGAGUUGUAGAAAGUUCCAGUAACAUAGGAACAAAACUAUAGAACUGCCCAAACAAUUUUUAGGCCUCCAUCUUAAAUUUAAGAGCCAUAAAGAAAUAAAUAGCUACUCAAUUAGAAAGGUUAUAAAGUAUUCAGUAACACCAAAGUUCUUCUGAUAUUUUCUGAAACUCUCUUGAUCUACUUACUUUCUUUUUCAACUGUAUUAUAACUCUUCUCUACCAAAACUUGUUUUCAUUUUUUAAAAAUUAUUAUUCAUGUUACACCUCACUGAAAGUACAAAUCAAUGUUUUACCUCUUGCCCUUAAAAAAAAAAAUCAGGCAUGCUUAAACAGUUAGAAAAUAUUUGAGAGAACAAUGUGGUGUAAUAAAGAGGAUUAAAUAUUGCUGACUGAAAUCAAAUAUGUAUUCUCUUUGCCAAAAUCCCACUAAAUAAAAUUUUGAACAGCAAUCCUGGAAGCCAGAAGAUAAUGGAGCAAUAUAUUUGAAAUUCUAAGGAAAAUUAAGUUCUAACUUAGAAUUCUAUAUCUAGUCAUACAAUCAAUUAAGUGUGAGAGUAAAAUAAAGACAUUUUCAUAAUGUCAAGUCUCAAAAUGAUUAUUUCCAAUGCGCCUUUUCUCAGAAGCUGCUCUCUUCAAGGAAUAAAUCAAGAAGUAGAAAUCAUGAGACCUGGGGAACAAGAGAUCCAACAAAGGAGAAGAAGCAGAAAAUGCUAAGAGUAAGAAGGAAGUGGAGUCCUAAAACUAAUCUGAUAAGAACAGCCAGAUCAAACUGGAGCUGAGAGAGAAUACCCCAGGAGGGAAACUAAAAAGACAAAGUCAAACAAAUGAACAAAUAAACAAAGAAAAAAACCUGAGUGAAUGAUUGUGAAGUUUUCAGAGUUCUGUGAAAAUACUGGGAAUUAACUUAAUGAAAAGUACAUAGAAAUCGAAGCAGUGAGACAAUUGCUAACAAACUCCAAGGGAAAUGGAAAAUUGCACACGAAAAAGGAAACGUGACCAUAGUAUGCUAUGUGGUUUAGCUGUGAACAAUACAAACAUAGUCAGAAUAAUGGAAGCACUGAAAUUUUUUCUUACCCCAGAUUAUGGGAUAGCUGCAUUGGGAGGUUGCGUUGAGAGAAGAAUGUAUUGAAACAGGGUUGUUGUUGGGGUUUUUUUUUCCAUUUGUUGGUUUUAAAGAGAGCUAAAUGAUCAUGUCAUCUUCCAUAAAAGGAAUUUAAUGGAUUAGGUCUCAAUUUUUUAACUGAAGAGUACAUUUAAAAUUGGAAAGAAAUCCUAGAAGCAGCAGAACUGCAAAUGGGUUGCUUUUGGUAGGCAGGUCAGGAAUGGGUAGGGAUUGGGCAUGAGAUUGCUAAUAUUUCUCAUGAACACUUUGUCAUUUUAUUUAACAUGUUAAAGAAUAUUGGUGAUUUUUUUUUUUAAUGAGUAGGGACCACCUAGAUUUAAAUCUUUGCCCUGGUCUGGUUAUUCAGUAGCCUAAACAAGUUUACUGAGUCCUCUGAACUUCACCCCCAUAAUUAGAGGGUAGUUUUUAAAACAAAAUAAGGAGUCUCCAAAUACUUCUUUCCUUGGCACUCAGGCAUGUCUUAAGCAUAUUUUCUAAACCCAGAAGCUCCAAAUUCUUGACAAGUCACAGCAUGACCAUAUCUUCUUCCCAUACCAAGGGUUCUAAAGAUUCGUGCUCAAUUAGACUUCCACCUCCCCCGCCACCGCCCCCAGCCCCCUGUUCAAUGGAUUCUGCAGAGCCUGAGGAAUAGGAAAGCCCCAAGUGAACCCAUAACUCUUAAGAGAUUUCCCAGACAAGAAGGGGAAUUUCCAGGCAUCUUGGAUUUCCUAGGAUUUUAGAGAUUCUCAAGUCUCAAGUUUCAAUAUGAGUCCUUGCAACAAUUCUGAAUGAGCAGUAGAAGGGAUGGCUGUACAUGCCGAGGGCUGGGAGGAUGGCAGAUUAGCUCACUUAUGGCACCAUGUGUCUAUCGGGGAAAGAAGAGUGUGAUUUCUUCUUAACUCAAAUUUAUAUCUAUGUAUCUAACAGAUGUUUUUACAAGAAUGUUUAAACCUUUUAUUUCACAUUUUAAAAGAUUGAAUAUAUUUUCCGAUUUAAUAAUUCUUAAACUAGUACUUUUGGAAAUUUGUAUAUGAGUAAAGUAGAAAUAGAAGAUUGUUUGAAGCGAAUGGUGUUUUAGCACUCAGCUGUUUUUCUGUCUCAUUUGCUAUUUACAAAGCAAACUGCACCUCCUUAACAGUUCUAACUCUGAAAACAGAUCCACAUUCUUCUCUUAUCAGGGGCUGGUCCCUUACACUCAACUUAAUGUUCAACUAAAGUAACUUACACUUGUUUUACUUAUUUCACAUGCUUUACUUUCUCUGGGAAAGAGAAUGCACAUUGAGCUGUGCUGAGUAUUCAUUUUAUUCGACUGUGUUUAGAUGUUUUAUACUUAUAAACACACACAAUUAUAGACUGUUUCCAACCUAUUUAAGUUAACACUUAUGAAUGGAUGUAGCAACUGUCUGCUUACCACCUUAUGGUUUUAAAGUAAGUAAUCUCCCAUUAAAACAAAUUAACCAAAAGAAGUAAUUAUACAUAUAUCAAUUUAUAUUUGUGUAUAAUGAGUCCUAAAUUUUAAAAGUAUUAAUUGACUCUUUUAUUCUCAUUAGCACCUUGAUUUUGGGCAAAAUUUCAAAUUAAGAGGGUUCAACCCCUAUUACUCUAGUAGAGACGAUCAUUUCUCCUUCUACCGCUGGUUAGUGGGUUUUUAAUUGUCUAAAAUUUUAAUGUAAAUCUUGAACUAUAGCAGCCUCCAGAGAGUGUCAUGGUUUAGAUUUGGGGUUGCUAUUUCCAGUCAGUCAAGAACAGAGUCCUGAGCCAAAAUGAACCGCGUGGAGAGCUCUGACUUUAUCUUUACUAUUGCAUUAUAUUCCCUCACCAAAAUCAAACAAACAAAAAUGUGGUUUUGUUUUUACUGUGAUUUACAUAGAGGAGAAUGCAUAAAUCUUAAUUGCAUAGUUCAAAUUUUGACAUAUGUAUGUACCCAAGUAACCAACAUCCAGAUCAAGAUACAGAGAAACAUGUUUAUCGUUCUAGAAAAUUUCUCCACGCCACUUUCCAACCAAUAGCCCUCCCUUUCUCCAGCAGUAACUGCUUUUCUGAUUUCUAUCACCAAAAAUUAGUUUUGCAUAUUCUUUGCAUGAAUUUGAUACGAAUAAAAUUAUAAAGUCUA